AUCGCCUCUUGGCCUUUUGGCUCAGAUCAAGCGUCGUGUCUGUUCUUACCAGUUUUAUAACUGAUACAUCCUCUCUCUGAGGGCAAUAUAUUAAAUGGAUUUGGGGAGCAGGGAGAUGGCCUAGGAGCUUGCUCCGUCCCCUCCAUGCAUCGAGCUGGUUAAAAAAAACGAGAAGAGGGGCGCCUGGG
rnacentral:snRNA from 2 species